rnacentral:lncRNA from 1 species
GUGUCCUCUAGACUGAUUGUCCAUGAUCCGUUAGCUUUUGCAGAAAUCGAAGAGUCGAUUUCGAUGCGUUUUUCGGCGAAAUUCGCCGAAAGAACGCGGUUUUGGUUCGGAUUUCUUCCGACGUCGUUUGGUUGCUCUGUGAGUGGUCGAUAAGCCUUGUUGGCUGGUCACCAUCAUCACCUUGUGGGUUCGGUGAUGACGGGUGAGCGACGGUGGGUUCCGGUAUCGAAUUUGACACUUCCGGGAACCCGUAUUCGUACAAUUAUCCGGCGAUAAUUGUGUCGUGGUGUUAUCUUAUGUUUGCUGCCAAAACAUCCAAAUUGGAGUGUUUUGUGGCAGCGGGUGACUUGUAGCAUGGGUCGGUGCGUUCCGGGACAUUUCAGUGGUCCCGACGGAGUCCCGGUGCGAUUUUCGGGACUUCCGGCGAGUUACGGUAGUCGGUUUUGAGAAACUGAUCUCCGUGGGUUUGUUAGAGGGAUUAUGAUGUAGUGUUUCUUAGUUGUGGGUUAGACACUAACCCAGUGGACCCUCCUUAGGUCCUGUUGACGUUCUUUUGUAGUCAGGAGACAGGCGCGACAGUUGUACAGGUGGGUACUUCGAUCCGACGUUGGUACAGUGGUGCACGCUCGGUGAUGGUUUCUUACCUUUGCUCUUUCGUUAUUAUCUAGCAUAUAUAUAUCUUGAUAUAUAGUGUUGAGCCUAGCACCAUGUUGUUUGAUUAUACUCUACUCGUUGUUUGCAUGCUUAGUAUCCUGAGUAGGAGUAGAGUAGUUCUAUCCGCAUCCGUAUCUGUUGACCUAGUUGGUCUGUUCUGCAUUCCUCUACUCAGUUAUUUCCAUGUUGAUAUCAUGCUUAGGAGUAGAGUUGACUUAUCUGUUCACUAUAUCUGUGAUUUGGUUGGGCGGUUCCCCAUUUGAUAUCUAUGACCUAUUCGGUCGAGUUGCCACAGUUCUAUCUUGACAUACGUAGCCGAUUAGUUGCUGAUGGCCUAUACGGUCGGUGUGCCCUAAGGGGCUGGAUUGUCGGCUAGUUGCCGAUGGAUGAUCUUUGAGUAUACUACAUUGAUCGCCACUGCAGGUACGCAUUUCACGAACACCAGCGGUCUGAUCCACCGCAAGAGGGUGUUCUUUUUCGGAAAAGUGGUUGGAUUGCCAACCCGUGAGCCCAGGGGCUUUAUUGCGAGGGUAUAUGCUUCUGACCCAGGGGCUUCAUUGCGAGGGUCAGGUACUAUGGUCCUGACCCAGGGGCUUCAUUGCGAGGGUCAGGAACAGGUUGAGCAGUGUGGCAUGGGCCUGAGGUCUUCGGACCAAUAAGGCAGCGAGAUUGGGUACUUUUGAGGUUAUCGUCAGUUGACGCAUGCAUACAGUAGCUGUAGUGUUUAUUUUCAGUACAUCCUUAUCUGUUUAUUGUAGCUACUGUUUUAUUUACCUGCAUCUAUACUUGUCAGUUCCUUACAUAUCUCUUUCGUUACUAUGGUUCCUACUGUAUUUCCACUGACCCGUACUGUUGUUU